rnacentral:lncRNA from 1 species
ACUUUUGGCACAUACACUGGGUAUAGUUAGGUGUCCUUAUUUAGAUAGACGUUUAAGUCGUUUCUUUUAUUUUGAUGGCCUGUAUAAGAACCUCUUUUUUGGGUCUACUUUAUAUAUUGGGUGACUAACUUAUGGUGAUGUAGUAAACUGAAUACCUAUUUUGGAGAAUGUAAUUAUAACUCUUUUGGGAUUGUAUAUAGUAUGUAUAGUACUCUUUUGGAU